rnacentral:rRNA from 1 species
UCCUAGUACGAGAGGACCGGAGUGGACGCAUCACUGGUGUUCGGGUUGUCAUGCCAAUGGCACUGCCCGGUAGCUAAAUGCGGAAGAGAUAAGUGCUGAAAGCAUCUAAGCACGAAACUUGCCCCGAGAUGAGUUCUCCCUGACUCCUUGAGGGUCCUGAAGGAACGUUGAAGACGACGACGUUGAUAGGCCGGGUGUGUAAGCGCAGCGAUGCGUUGAGCUAACCGGUACUAAUGAACCGUGAGGCUUAACCUU